rnacentral:rRNA from 1 species
AUUGAACGCUGGCGGCAUGCCUUACACAUGCAAGUCGAGCGGCAGCGCGGGGGCAACCCUGGCGGCGAGCGGCGGACGGGUGAGUAAUACAUCGGAACGUGUCCUUUCGUGGGGGAUAACCAGUCGAAAGACUGGCUAAUACCGCAUGAGAUCUCACGAUGAAAGCGGGGGACCGCAAGGCCUCGCGCGAUUGGAGCGGCCGAUGUCGGAUUAGCUAGUUGGCGGGGUAAAAGCCCACCAAGGCUACGAUCCGUAGCUGGUUUGAGAGAACGACCAGCCACACUGGGACUGAGACACGGCCCAGACUCCUACGGGAGGCAGCAGUGGGGAAUUUUGGACAAUGGGGGCAACCCUGAUCCAGCCAUGCCGCGUGUGUGAAGAAGGCCUCGGUUGUAAG